UACAGAGGUGGCAAGCGUUGUUCGGAAUUACUGGGCGUAAAGGGCGCGUAGGCGGCCUUCUAAGUCAGACGUGAAAUCCCCAGGCUUAACUUGGGAACUGCGUCUGAUACUGGGAGGCUUGAGUGCGGGAGAGGGAUGUGGAAUUCCAGGUGUAGCGGUGAAAUGCGUAGAUAUCUGAAGGAACAUCAGUGGCGAAAGCGACUUCCUGGACCAAUACUGACGCUCAUGCACGAAAGCGUGGGGAGCAAACAGG
rnacentral:rRNA from 1 species